CUUGGGACCUCUCAACUGUGUGGAUCUCAUGUGAAUUGGAACAGUAAAACUUGGACCCUUGCUUCUUCUCACUGACUGGUUCAGUGUCUUGCUUUUCUUCAUUCAACUGGGUAGUAGAUCUCAGUAAUUCACUCCGCUUCCCUGCUCGGCUGAGGACGUCGCUCUGCUUUCCUGCUCGGCUGAGGAAUUCACUACACUUUCCUUCUUGCCUGAGGAUGUCGCUCUGCCUUCAUGCUCGGCUGAGGACGUUGCUCUGCCAUCCUGCUUCGCUGAAGACCUCGCUCCUCUUCUUUGCUUCACAUCGUAUGUCGCUCCCCCUUCCUGCUCCACAGAAGGCAUUGUUCCCCCCUCGUGCUUUGCGGAGAGCAUUGUUCCUCCCUCUGGACUAGCGGAUGAACCUCGCUCCCCUCUUUGGCCUCACAGAAAUCUUUGAGCUUCCAUCUGGCCUGAUGGAGAACUUCGCCCCUCCCGUGGACCUCGCGGUGAGUAGCACUCUCCCUGCUAGUGUCAUGGGGAAUGUCGCUUCCCCCUCAGGCUCCACCUUGAGCUUUGUUCCUCCCGCUGGCUGUGCAGUAGCCAUUGUGCCGCAUUCAAGCCAGGCCAGGGAUAUCAUGCCCAAGUCUGCUGACACAGACAACCAAGUUAUGCUCACGUCCAAGUCUGCUGAAAACGGACAACCAAGUUCUGCUCACGCCAGAGUCUGCUGAUAUGGCUGACCAAGUUCUGCCUUCCUGCCCAGCUGAGGAUGUCGCUCUGCUUUCCUGUCCUGCUGAGGACAUUGCUCUGCUUUCCUGUCCUGCUGCGGAUGUCGCUCUGCAUUCCUGUUCCGCUGAGGACGUCGCUCUGCUUUCCUGUUCCGCUGAGGAUGUUGCUCUGCUUUCCCGUUCCGCUGAGGAUGCCGCUGUCUCCUGGUUCAGCUGGGGACAUUUUGCCCAGGGGGCCAGGACCACCAGAAGGAGGAAGUGUAUUUUGGUGCUCCUCCAGAUGGAAUGGAAUUUUGGAAAUGAGGUUAAAAUAACAUCUGCUUUUAUUGAUAAAGCUCUAAACUGGUCCGCUAUAAGAGCGGAAGAUGGUACUGCUCUGAGAUCUUAUCUACUUUUCUUGAGAAGCUGCUUCAAUACAAUGUAGGAAGUUGGUUAUGGGGAAGAUCUGGACAUCGCAGCAAACAUGAUAGUAUUUAUACCAUACACUUUUUGUCAAACUGUCAAAGUAGUGUGUACUGAUUUAUGACCCUUUGCUCCCCUGACCGACAUUUCUAUAAGUAUACCUAAUUUAUUACCAGGGG